AUGAUGGAGAUGAAAAUGAAAGUGGAGGAGGAGAAAUAUGUAGAGAAAUAUCAAGAUGUGCUCAAGACUCUGAAGGAAUCUGAGGUCCAACAGGAAAUCAAGUGUCGUGCACAAUCACACCAUCUGCAAAAAGUUGAAAAACAGAUUGUCAGAUUACAAAAAAAUAUGGAAAUUCUGCAUGACACCCUCAAGAAAAAAGAAAAGACAGUCCACUGGUAUGAACAGCAGCUAAGUGCUAGUUUAGAGAGAGAGAAGAACUUGGAAAUAAUGAGAACACAGAUUGAACUUGAGUGGCAAAAAUGCUGUGAGAACAUGAAGACAGAACACAACCAUAUGAAUCAGCAGCUAAUUAAAGGACUGAUCCAGAAUAAAAACCAGUGCUUGAGCCCAGCUCCAGACAAGAUCUAUAAUCUGCAGGAGUGCAAUGCAGAGUUACAGGGGGUGGUGUCUCAAAUGAGAAAAGACAUGGAGGCUUUACUGCAGUACCAGGUGCAGUCACAGGCAUCCUUGCCUUUGGAAAGUUAUCAUGGACUCCCUGCUGAAAUUUCCACUCAUCUCUCACCACAAUCCAAUUUACACAAACAAGGUGGUCUGUGGCAAAGACAAAACGACAACAGUGUUUCUUUGAUGCCAUUAGUUUGUACUGAAAAGCUCCAACAAGAGAAGCAACAUUUGAGGGUACAGCACUCUUCUCAUCUAAUUUCGGGUGAUAAAUUAAAAAAUGUGCAAGGACAUCCUGUCCCGCGUGCUAGAUUGAAGCAUGCAGCACUCUGCAUCACCCGUUUGAUCAAAGAGAAACAACACCUGAUAGAGAUGUGCAACCGCCUCCGUGGUAUGAAGUCAUCUUCUGGAUUUAAAGAGUUGGAUUUGUCCACAGAACUACGAGAACAACACGGCAGUCUCAAAAAUCUGGAGCAGCAUCAGUCCCAGAUCACUUCAAAGGUAUCUGCUUCACUUGCUGGAUGA
rnacentral:lncRNA from 1 species